AACGCUAGCUACAGGCUUAACACAUGCAAGUCGAGGGGAAACGACAUCGAAAGCUUGCUUUUGAUGGGCGUCGACCGGCGCACGGGUGAGUAACGCGUAUCCAACCUGCCCACCACUUGGGGAUAACCUUGCGAAAGUAAGACUAAUACCCAAUGAUAUCCCACGAAGGCAUCCGAAUGGGAUUAAAGAUUUAUCGGUGAUGGAUGGGGAUGCGUCUGAUUAGCUUGUUGGCGGGGUAACGGCCCACCAAGGCAACGAUCAGUAGGGGUUCUGAGAGGAAGGUCCCCCACAUUGGAACUGAGACACGGUCCAAACUCCUACGGGAGGCAGCAGUGAGGAAUAUUGGUCAAUGGGCGAGAGCCUGAACCAGCCAAGUAGCGUGCAGGACGACGGCCCUAUGGGUUGUAAACUGCUUUUAUAAGGGAAUAAAGUGAGUCUCGUGAGACUUUUUGCAUGUACCUUAUGAAUAAGGACCGGCUAAUUCCGUGCCAGCAGCCGCGGUAAUACGGAAGGUCCGGGCGUUAUCCGGAUUUAUUGGGUUUAAAGGGAGCGUAGGCCGGAGAUUAAGCGUGUUGUGAAAUGUAGUGGCUCGACCUCUGCACUGCAGCGCGAACUGGUCUUCUUGAGUACGCACAACGUGGGCGGAAUUCGUGGUGUAGCGGUGAAAUGCUUAGAUAUCACGAAGAACUCCGAUUG
rnacentral:rRNA from 1 species